CCUACGGGUGGCAGCAGUGAGGAAUAUUGGUCAAUGGACGAGAGUCUGAACCAGCCAAGUAGCGUGAAGGAUGACUGCCCUAUGGGUUGUAAACUUCUUUUAUAAAGGAAUAAAACGAGGCACGUGUGCCUUUUUGCAUGUACUUUAUGAAUAAGGAUCGGCUAACUCCGUGCCAGCAGCCGCGGUAAUACGGAGGAUCCGAGCGUUAUCCGGAUUUAUUGGGUUUAAAGGGAGCGUAGAUGGGUUGUUAAGUCAGUUGUGAAAGUUUGCGACUCAACCGUAAAAUUGCAAUUGAUACUGGCAGUCGUGAGUACAGUUGAGGUAGGCGGAAUUCGUGGUGUAGCGGUGAAAUGCUUAGAUAUCACGAAGAACCCCGAUUGCGAAGGCAGCUUACUAAACUGUGACUGACAUUGAUGCUCGAAAGUGUGGGUAUCAAACAGGAUUAGAUACCCCUGUAGUC
rnacentral:rRNA from 1 species